rnacentral:snoRNA from 1 species
CCUCUAGGUAACAAUUUGUCAGCUUCAUUAAUAUCCAUGAACAUAAAAACUUGGGGUAAAUCUGGCAUGUCCAAGGUCUGUGUAGAUGAGGUGACAUUUCCUUUUGGCUCCUGACUACCUGCAUAU